UUUAGUUUCAAAAUUGUCUUCCUUGGCACCUGGCUUUUUGAAUGCUUCAGAGGGCCUCUGAAGUGUCCAGGAAAGAGAGGCCAUCAGACUCCAAACAGUUAUGCAACUGGAGCCUCCUGAGGAUGACCCCUUCUGCCUGGGACCCUUAGAUCAGCCUCUAGAGAAGCUUUGACUGCUGUUUCCCCAAAACAGCACCCCCUGCCAUCAGGAAGCAGUGAGAAUGCUAAAUGAUAGCUGUAUGGAUUAGGUUCAGCUUUUCACAUUGGGAAAAAUGACUGAUGGACCCUCAGAUGAGAGUGUUGCUACCAUGUCAACAUCACAAUAGUUUCCCUCCUCCAAAAAGCACCAAAACAAGCAUGAGCCACAAGAAACUGGGAACAAAAGGAAUCUUUGUUAUUUUAUUCAACAGAAAGCCAUGUUGGUUCACCACAUGUAUCGCAUCCUGAUAAUGUGAAGUGAAAAAGUAGAGCCUGGAAGCCUUUGUAAGAUGACUGUGCCAGAGGAGGAAGAUAAAUAUCUCGAUGCUAUGGAGGCCUGUCAGCUCUUUGAAGUAUCUGGGCAAUAUCAAGAUUUCUACUUCAGAUGAAAAAACAAAUAGUUAUUCAUUGACCCUGUUGCCGCCAAGAAAGAG
ensembl:lncRNA novel transcript, antisense to THSD7A